AGGAAGGGGAAUUCAACCUCUGCUGGGUCUCCUGUGGGCGUGUUUUGAGCAAUUUUGAUCCUCACCUGUGUAAGAGGCAGACUGGGGCAGGGCUUUGCUCAGGCCUCAGGCAAGCCUUGGGAGGCCUGCGUGAGCAUGCGUGGAUGUGUGCGCCGGUGUGUUUUGGGAGGGGCAGAGGCGCAGCAAUCCUGUUUCAGUCCUCCAGACACUCACAGAUUGCCUCCCUUUCUAAAAUUCCUUUACUUUGUUGUAAGGCAAAGUGAUAGCAAUAAUUAUUUUUGCUUCUUGAGUGCCUACUUGUGCUGGGCAUUAUUUAGCCCUGGAAAGAACCUGUCUUCUCCUGGGAGUGAGCCAUGAGAGUUUCUGGAAUGCUGAGGCUGGUGCUGAGGGAGGUCACAGGGAAGGCCGGACAAAAGUAGGAAAAUGAAACAAUGGGAAGCACAUGAAAUCGAAGAUAUCACUGCUGUGUUCUCAGUGCCUAGAACAGUGCUUGGCACACAACAAGAACUCGGUGCAUAUUUACUGAAUGAAAAAAUAUGGACAGUUCACAAAAAAGGAAAUGCAAGUGAAUUUUACUUUCAAAUGUAUAUACGAAGCUGUUUCAUUGUUUCUAAUGGUGCCAUGAAUUUCCACUGGAUACCAUGUGCUGGAGUUCAUUUAACUGGUCCCCUAUCGAUGAACAUUUAUGUUGUUUCCAAUAGUGUGCUAUUACAAACACUGUUGCAUUCAUGGGGAAAGAAUAAUCUGCUCAACAAUGGUAUUGGAAGAAUUGGAUAUUCAAAUACAAAAAACUGAACCUUGACUGCUACCUCAACAUAAUCAGAAAUUAACUUGUCAUGGAUCACAGAUCUAAAUGUCAAGCCUAAGGCUGUCAAACUUCCAGAAGAAAACAUGGGAGAAAAUCUUUGUGUCCUUGGCUCAGGCAGAGAUUUUUUAGAUAUGACACAAAAAACUUCAGCCAUAAAGGAACCAAAUGACAAACUGGACUUCAUCAAAAUUAAAAAUUUCAGCUCUUCAGAGGACACCAUUAAAAGAAUGAAAAGACAAGGCACAGAAAAUAUUUGCAAAGCACAUAGCUGACAAGGGACUUAUAUCCAGAAUACAUAAAGAACUCUCAAAAGUGUAUGGUAAGAAAAACAGCCCUCUCCAGGCAGCCUGGUCCCUCGAGGGGCUGCGGCUUGUGUUCUCUUAGAGACCUGCUGCAAACAGUUAUGUCAUUCAUUCAUGCAACAAAUAUUUGUUGAGCAUCUACUCUGGGCCAGACUUGAUUCAGGUGCUGGGGAUACAGCAGUGUACAAAACAGUCAUGGAGCACUCAUUCUUGUAGGAGGAGAUGGGCAAAAACACGUGAACAGAUUGAUAUCUGAUAGUAAUCUACAAAGAGUUAAGUUUUCCAGAUAAUUCGCAUCUUUAAUUAACAUUUUCCAUGGCCACUGAGAAGGGACAGGAGCCUCAAUAACUUGAGAUAGUCUUUCAAGUUGGUAGACGUCCACAGGCACAUGAAGGCACUCUUUCUUCCAUCCUCAUUUAUCACAGAUAUUUGAUAACACACACUCCUUGAGUAUUGUCCUCGGAACUAGUGGCUGCCAAGCAAAGCAAAAUUUAAGCACCUUGAACGGAGAGUACAACACAUGAAUGUACUUCAGUGUGUUUAAAAAUCUAUGUCUAAAAUGGCCUAUGCGCAUCUAUAUUUUGCCAGAUUUCUUACAUACACCACAAUCAAGGACGCAUAGCAGGCAGCAUGAUUUAGGGUUUAACUCCUUGAUUUGGAACUCUUUAAUGUAGCCUUGCGUGUUUUGAUGCUAGAUGAUGACAUCUUUAGAUCACCCUCAGAAAGAUCAAGGUCCAUUUAGUUCAAGCCUUUAUUACUCACCUCGAGGCCAACCUAUGUGUCAUUCAUGGAAACAGAAACAUCACUUCCGAUCCUACCACUCUUCAGGUGCCAGGAGAUUCCCAGGGGAAAGCUGCUUCCCCAGGGGAAAAAAUAGAUGGUAAUGGCCUCUGUUUUUCUGUAGGCAUUGGCACAUGGUGUUUGGCUAGGAAAGCUGCUUGGGGAUUUAAAGUCUGCAGUUCCAACAGCACCUAGAUAUCACUUUAAAAAGGUUAGAAUUUAUUCCAAUUGCUACUUACGCUACGUGCACACCUCCUGAGUCUGGGUAUCCAAGAGCAGGAGCAGGCACCUUCCUGCUGACUUCCACUGACCCCUUGGGAAUGUCCAGUCUAAUGGACACAUGGCAAUUAUAUGAGAAGCCUCCACACUUAACUUAAGCCACGUGGGCCCAACCCAUCUAAUCCCUGCAAAGGUGAAUGUUUUGAUUAUCCCAGGAAAGACUGGAAGUGGAGACGCAAAAAGAGGGUUUUGGAGAUCUCUGGUAAUCAGUGACUACUUACCCCCUCCAUGGGGCCAUGCCGUCCGUAUGCUAUAUAGAACCACUUCCUUGGACUUGCACAUCUGUCUGUAUAGAGAAUCCCCUCAUUGGACUGGUAUGUCUCUGUGAUACAAGGGAACUACCUGGUGGUAAAUUAGCAUCUGCUUUCGUCACUUCUGUCCCCUUAUCCUCUUUUAUUUUUCUUUAUAGCACUUCUCAUUACCUGAAAAAUUGUUGCUUGUUUGUUCGUUUUUCUAUAAGUAUUUCCCCUCACUAAGAGCUCAGCUCCUCAGCAGCAGGGACUUUUAUUUGUUCACUAAUGUCCCCCCACUAUUUAGGACAGUGCCUGGCACAGAGUAAGUGCUCAAGAAAUAUUCUUGAAGGAAGAAAGGAUGGAUGGAAGGGAGAGAGAGAAGGAGGGAGGGAGGGAGAGAAGAAGGAAGGAAGGAAUCCUGUUAACUAAGCGGGCUCUCUCAUCUUUUCACUUCUCACUGGCCAGGCUUGGUAGACCAAAGGCCAGAAUUUGGCCUAUGGAGUUGCCAAAUCCCUGCUAGAACCAUCUGCAUUCUAUUCCCUCUGAAGCUCCUCCCCUUUGGUGUCAGAUGCCUGCAAGAUAUUGCUGCCCCAUUGUGCAGAUGAGGAAAAACAGAUGUCAUAGCACAAAAGAGAACCUCACUCCUUGAGGUUUCUGCAAAUGACUCCCCAGUGGCUGUGCAGGCAAGAAUGCCUAUCUUUCUAGAAAACACUUUCUUUCUCAUGCUGCAUUUCUUCCCUUAUUAACUCUCCAAAGCUAUGAGUUUGGGCUGCCCCCACUGUGAGCUCUCAGAUGUUGACUGACUAGCUAAAUUAUGCUAUUGAUGUGGCUUAAUUAAUACUAAUGACUUAUC
ensembl:lncRNA